CCAGCAUCACUUUACAUCAACAGCUGGCACCACACCAGAGGAACGAAGGGUCCAGUCUCUCUACACCCCUGAAAAGAAACAGCGUUAUAUAAACGCAUCCCGCAUACAUCCUGAGCCAAGAAUCUAUGGACACUUUCCAAGCGCCAGCUAAUUCAGUGCUUUUCCACUCCUGAGAAAAGUGUACAGGUCAACCACCUUCCAGUGAACGUGCAAACCAGCUCACCCAGACCUCUGCAUAAGAGAUUGUCAAGCCUCUGCCGAUGAGCUGUUUGGUGCAGGAGCUAUUCCAGAGCUAUCCCACUAUUUGGGACAGUCAUUUUGCACUGCGGUAACAGCAUUUGGCCCAGUUGAUAAGCAUUAUCCAAUCUCAUCAGGUCUAUUUGUUGGCCUCUCAGGCACAGAGUGAAGAGAGCUUUCUCUACAUUAUAUCCCAUAAUCUCUGAUUUGGUCGAAAUACCCAAAUCCUGCUGGAUCCUUAACAGUCCAGUGCACAGGUCCUUCCACAUAAAGCAUGAAGCUUUCUUUGCUUCUCCAACCAGAAGUUCCCUCUCCUUUGGUCUCCUAUCUACUCUCUUCCUGUUAUGCUUACCAUCUGACUGCUGUGUUAUAUUUCAGCCCACAACGCAGCCUUCGUCCCUGGAACCGUCACGUGUCAGAGCCCACCUGACCCCUCCUCGUGCCUUGGGGAUGCCAUUUAGCCAGAAGGCCUCGGCUCAAUUCCUGCUUGCUAAAAUGCUGUCUUUUGCCUUUUCUGU